CAGGAUCUAAGUGUCUUUAUUUCCGAGCAAUCCUGAGGUCCACCAUCCAUGAACCAGACAGAGACUAAUGGAGCCAAGUGAGGCUUGUGUGCCUUGCGUUGAUGUCUGGGUCUCCUGAUCACAGAUAGAGGAAUAUCUGUCAGCAUCAUGUUCUUGGGGAGCAGGCAAGAUCCCUCUUCCUUCAGCCACUUCCUGCUGCUAGGCACUGGGACACAGUCCCUGCUCUCUGAGCUCAGUGGACACACAUGCCACCAGAUCACUGCAGCCCCAGGUUAUAGCUGCGUGGUGCUUGUGUGAGUUGUGUGAGCGCAGAGGAGACAAGGGUUGGUUUUCCUUGAAGUGGACUGCCAUGUGCUCAUCACAGAAAACCCAUGUUCAGCAGAACCAGGGAUACUUGUCGUCAGGAAGGGUAUUCAAAGCCAAGGGACUUGCUUGCUGCCUUGCUCUCUCUCCCUAAAGGCUAGAGGCACAAAGGGGCCAGUUUGGGAAACAGAGCUGGUAUGUAUGAGUUCUUUCUGGUGCCCCAGGGCCCAAAGACUGCACAGAGUUCCUCCUGCAGAUUUAGGGAAAUGGAGCAGGAGGAUAGAAGAAAAAUUUGGUGGUUGAAGGGUGGUCCACAGAGCUCAGAGGGCUUAUACCCCCCUUCUCUCAAUAAGAGAAGCUAAUAGGGCGGUCCUGCAGCUUUGUGGGGAUUAGGCACAGCGACAUGACAGAAAGGAUAAAAGAGAAUCCACGUUGGAAAGGAAAUCCCUGGGCUGAGCCCUGCUUCCACUCCCUACAGGCAGCAAUAAGGACUGACUCCCUGGAUGUGCAGGGCCUGGGUAGCCGGGAAGACCUGUUGUCAGAGGUGAGUGGGCCCUCCUGCCCUCUGACCCGGUCCUCAUCCUUCUGGGGCGGGUCGAGCAUCCAGGUGCAGCAGCGUUCCGGCAUCCAGAGCAAAGUCUCCAAGCACAUCCGCCUGCCAGCCCCUUGCCCAGGCCUGGAA
rnacentral:lncRNA from 1 species